rnacentral:rRNA from 1 species
UGGGGAAUUUUGGACAAUGGGCGAAAGCCUGAUCCAGCAAUGCCGCGUGUGUGAAGAAGGCCUUCGGGUUGUAAAGCACUUUUGUCCGGAAAGAAAUCCUCUGGGUUAAUACCUCGGGGGGAUGACGGUACCGGAAGAAUAAGCACCGGCUAACUACGUGCCAGCAGCCGCGGUAAUACGUAGGGUGCAAGCGUUAAUCGGAAUUACUGGGCGUAAAGCGUGCGCAGGCGGUUUUGUAAGACGGAUGUGAAAUCCCCGGGCUUAACCUGGGCACUGCAGUCGUGACUGCAAGGCUAGAGUAGGGCAGAGNGGGGUAGAAUUCCACGUGUAGCAGUGAAAUGCGUAGAGAUGUGGAGGAAUACCGAUGGCGAAGGCAGCCCCCUGGGCCAAUACUGACGCUCAUGCACGAAAGCGUGGGGAGCAAACA